CCGGCACGGUGAGUAACACGUAUCCAACCUGCCGUCUACUCUUGGACAGCCUUCUGAAAGGAAGAUUAAUACAAGAUGGCAUCAUGAGUUCACAUGUUCACAUGAUUAAAGGUAUUCCGGUAGACGAUGGGGAUGCGUUCCAUUAGAUAGUAGGCGGGGUAACGGCCCACCUAGUCUUCGAUGGAUAGGGGUUCUGAGAGGAAGGUCCCCCACAUUGGAACUGAGACACGGUCCAA
rnacentral:rRNA from 1 species